CGCGUAGGCGGAUCAGAAAGUUGGGGGUGAAAUCCCAGGGCUCAACCCUGGAACUGCCUCCAAAACUCCUGGUCUUGAGUUCGAGAGAGGUGAGUGGAAUUCCGAGUGUAGAGGUGAAAUUCGUAGAUAUUCGGAGGAACACCAGUGGCGAAGGCGGCUCACUGGCUCGAUACUGACGCUGAGGUGCGAAAGUGUGGGGAGCAAACA
rnacentral:rRNA from 1 species